GACGUAGGGCGCAAGCGUUGUCCGGAUUUAUUGGGCGUAAAGAGCUCGUAGGCGGUUUGUCGCGUCGGCCGUGAAAACUUGGGGCUUAACCCCAAGCCUGCGGUCGAUACGGGCAGACUUGAGUUCGGCAGGGGAGACUGGAAUUCCUGGUGUAGCGGUGAAAUGCGCAGAUAUCAGGAGGAACACCGGUGGCGAAGGCGGGUCUCUGGGCCGAUACUGACGCUGAGGAGCGAAAGCGUGGGGAGCGAACAGG
rnacentral:rRNA from 1 species